AGGACAGUUAAUCGCCUGAUGAAGACCGACAGAACAUCCCUUUAAGAAAAAUGAAUAUAAUACUAAUUAUAUGGUUUAGUGUGUCAAUACAGGUGGGCGUCUUUCAACUUUGCAACCUUGAGUUCAGCAGCAGAAAAGUAGAUUAAAAGAAUUGGGAGAGAAUAAGCCAGUUUUUGGCUCGAAAUUGUGCGGCUGGAUCUCUCACUUUGUCCCUGAAGCGGAGAAGAAGUUCAAAGGACAGUUAAUCGCCUGAUGAAGACAGAUAGAACAUCGUGGACUUGAAUACAGCAGGCAAACGGCAGUGCCACUGAUCCAUUAACACUGAUGACGACUGACGACCAGCAGCAGCAUGUAAGACUAAUGCAACAUGUACUGUGAAAAUACAGGCUGGGCAGUUGAACAGUGGGAUAAAGAAUUGUGGAAGAGCACUGGACAUUGAGUGAUAUUUUGCCACGCUGGGACUUAAUCUGAAAGAAAAGACUGUAAAGAAACAGAGAAGAAGACAGCAGCUGAGUUGAGACUGUGUUUGCUGGAGCUUUGAAGCCCGAAUAGGACAUUGUGCAGAGAGGACCAGUGAGAGAUGAAGCUGGACGAGUUUGACUGCGAGAAUAUAGGAUAUAAUUGGAAUGAAAAUUGAAGCCUGAACUCAUGAAUUGUUUAGGGAUGUCCACCACCGCAUAACAAAGAGGUAAACAUUAGAAAAGGUAAGAAUAAUGAACGAAGAUAAUUGUCAUUACCUUAAUGAAUAGAAAACACACAUACAAAUUGUUACAUGUGAGAUUAUUUUUGAAAUGAAUCAGAAGUGAGAUAGUUUGAAUCUAAAGCUCAGUGGUGAAAUGCAUAAAUUAAAUAUGAAUAUAUAGGAUGCAAUGAAGAAACAGCUUACACGUAGUGUACAGUAACAUGAAUACAUCGCAAGGCAACGAAGAACUCAAUGAAUUAAUUUAAUUUAAUGAAGAAGCAGUUUACACCCAAUUAACAUAAAAUGCAGGGAAGAACACGCUUACAUGCCUGGCAUAAUUGGUGUUUCUGAUCGGAGAUAGAGAAAUGGGUUAUUUAACCACUGGUGAUAAUAAUGAAAAUGUCUUAGUUUUGUUAUUUUCAGGAGUAAAGCAGACUUGGA
ensembl:lncRNA